UCUUCCUACGGGACGCAGCAGUGGGGGAUAUUGCACAAUGGGGGGAACCCUGAUGCAGCGACGCCGCGUGGGUGAAGAAGCGCCUCGGCGCGUAAAGCCCUGUCAGCAGGGAAGAAAAUGACGGUACCUGAAGAAAAAGCAUCGGCUAACUCCGUGCCAGCAGCCGCGGUAAUACGGAGGAUGCGAGCGUUAUCCGGAUUUAUUGGGUUUAAAGGGUGCGUAGGCGGGCUGUUAAGUCAGCGGUAAAAUCCCGGGGCUCAACCCCGGCGAGCCGUUGAAACUGGCUGUCUUGAGAUGUCGAGAGG
rnacentral:rRNA from 1 species